GAUGAACGCUAGCUACAGGCUUAACACAUGCAAGUCGCGGGGCAGCAUGGGGGUUGCUUGCAACCCCCGAUGGCGACCGGCGCACGGGUGAGUAACGCGUAUCCAACCUGCCCUUCACCACGGGAUAACCCGGCGAAAGUCGGACUAAUACCGUAUGUUGUCCAUUGACGGCAUCCGAUUUGGACGAAAGGUUUGGCGGUGAAGGAUGGGGAUGCGUCCGAUUAGCCAGGCGGCGGGGUAACGGCCCACCGUGGCUACGAUCGGUAGGGGUUCUGAGAGGAAGGUCCCCCACACUGGAACUGGGACACGGUCCAGACUCCUACGGGAGGCAGCAGUGAGGAAUAUUGGUCAAUGGGCGUAAGUCUGAACCAGCCAAGUAGCGUGCAGGAUGACGGCCCUAUGGGUUGUAAACUGCUUUUAUGCGGGGAUAAAGUAGCCCACGUGUGGGCUUUUGCAGGUACCGCAUGAAUAAGGACCGGCUAAUUCCGUGCCAGCAGCCGCGGUAAUACGGAAGGUCCGGGCGUUAUCCGGAUUUAUUGGGUUUAAAGGGAGCGUAGGCCGCGCCUUAAGCGUGUUGUGAAAUCCGGGUGCUCAACAUCCGGCUUGCAGCGCGAACUGGGGCGCUUGAGUGCGCUGAAAGUAGGCGGAAUUCGUGGUGUAGCGGUGAAAUGCUUAGAUAUCACGAGGAACUCCGAUUGCGAAGGCAGCCUACUGUAGCGCUACUGACGCUGAUGCUCGAAAGCGUGGGUAUCGAACAGG
rnacentral:rRNA from 1 species